UGAUUUUAGGUUUAUAUCAGAAUGAUUGGAUGUGUCUCUUUUCAGAUGUUCAUUAGCCUGUUGGAGGGAGUUAUAAAACAGACUACACAGAAGAAGCCAGUCAGGAAAUGUACAUCCUAUUCCAGAUAGCCUACUGACAGUGAAUAUAUAUCGACUCUGCACAGCAAUACGAGGGAUUUCCAACAUACUUGGACCAUGGACUGAAACAUUCUCAGCGCCCACAGCAAAUUGAAAUUCCCUUGAAGAAUCUCCCUUUCUGAGUAAUGACUGUAAAGGCAGCUGAAGUCUUCAGUCCUUUGGCACGCAACAACCAAACACCUGUCACACACCUUCAAACCAGUUUUCUCUUAACCGCUGUGGUUUAUGGUCCUUCGCC
rnacentral:lncRNA from 1 species